UUUCUUUGCUGGCGACCGGCGCACGGUGAGUAACACGUAUUCAACCUGCCCUUUACUCGGGGAUAGCCUUUCGAAAGAAAGAUUAAUACCCGAUAGCAUAAUGAUUCCGCAUGGUUUCAUUAUUAAAGGAUUCCGGUAAAGGAUGGGGAUGCGUUCCAUUAGGUUGUUGGUGAGGUAACGGCUCACCAAGCCUUCGAUGGAUAGGGGUUCUGAGAGAAAGGUCCCCCACAUUGGAACUGAGACACGGUCCAA
rnacentral:rRNA from 1 species